GGAGACGUGCGAGAGCGGCCGAAUCGGCACGCUUGGAAAGCGUGUGUGGGGAAACUCACCGUGGGUUCGAAUCCCACCGUCUCCGCCA
rnacentral:tRNA from 2 species